rnacentral:rRNA from 1 species
AAUACAACUCUCGGCAACGGAUAUCUCGGCUCUUGCAUCGAUGAAGAACGUAGCGAACUGCGAUACUUGGUGUGAAUUGCAGAAUCCCGUGAACCAUCGAGUCUUUGAACGCAAGUUGCGCCCAAAGCCAUUAGGCCGAGGGCACGUCUGCCUGGGCGUCACG